AUUUACACCGUAACGUAACAUCAUGUCGGGAAAAUCCUUGCACAGGAGAACGGUGAACACAGUUACCCUGCUCUUAGCUGUAGGGCGAGAAUUUUUGAAGGCGAUUUGUAGAACCACCACUUACUUCGCCUUGUCAAUCCACUUGUGUGUUCCCUACGAGCAACGAUCUUUCAUCCUGUAUGCAUUAACCGGUCUAACUUUCUAUGCCAAGGGGUACUCUGUUAUCAGCAAGCAUGCACUUUCUCGAUCGCCACUGUGUCGCGAAAUUCUAAAUUUUCCAGCGUGUUCUGGAAACAAUGAAAGAAAAGUGCUCAUAAUUGCAAUGAAAUCAAGGUGAACUCUGGGAGCAAUUUGUUACAACACAGUGCCAGUCUAGCACACUUAGCCAGAGCCGUCCUGAGGCGAGCUUCUGCUUGGGGCAAGAAAUCAUGUAAAUGAACAGGAAGCUGCCAUGCUUUACAAGGUACUUCAGGGUAGAGGGAUACGUUACAAAAGAAGUUGCUAGUCUUUGUUGUGGAAAUAAAGUACACUGCCUGGGAAAACAGGAACAGCUUCUCUUCCAAAAUCCGUCAAGUGCAAGAAAAGUUAUUGGUUUAAACAUCAUACUUCUUAAUGUCCGGUAUAAUUAUGAUUACCAAUGUCUCUCUCUCUUUUUAUUUGGGGGAGGGGGUCCACCUUGUUUGUCUUAAUUUAAAGGUUUGCAUUUUUCCUUAACUAAUACUACAGUGUAUCCAACUGUGCUUCCACUCACUGACAAAACCUUGGUGACAACUGUGUAGCAAGGCUACAAAGGGCAAAGAAGUUGCCAGCUCAGCUCAGCAGUGUGUAUAUGGUUCCAUCACCACUGCACCAGGCCUAGACCAGAGAAUUAUAAGUUAUACUAAUGGCAGCGCAUUCCCUUCAAAGUCUCUGAAAGUCACAAGCUUGUGCUGUGUGAUGCAUAUGGCUGUGUGAGACUCCUUGGACCUUUGGGAACUGUUGCAACAGCUACUUGAUUACCAUUUUCAGUUGCACACAUUGCAAUUACGCUCAUACCCUCAGCAAUAAAUUAGCUGUAAGGUCCAUGUUUUGGUUUAUGGGACGACACCUGACCAACAACUUUGCGAAACGCAUUUCAAUUUGCAGAAGAAAAGGCAAGGUUGUCACCUGUUAUGAGCCUUACAGUGUCCAGCAGUCCAUGCACAUGAUCGCUGCACACGGUUGAGGCUAGGAGUGGAUUCAUGGGGUGUGGAGGUGAAGUGAAGGCAACACUGGUGACUUUGUUGGGUCCCUGUAAAAGUUCUCACACCUUGGCACAUCUGUGAGGGCUCAUGCUGUUUUACAACUUCCGAGUAUACAUCAUUGAGAGGGACUGCUCAGACAGUUCUAGGACCACUAGUGCGGAAAAUGUCCACGAAUACAGAGAAUUUCAGCUCAGAAUGAAUACAACAAUGGAGGAAGAGUAUGGUUAGAGGUGAGCACAGUCGCAGUGUCAUCAGUGGAUUGGCGGAUAUCCAGGCAACAUCCCAGUUUGAGGAUAAAAAUAUACAGUCUUCAUAAUCGCGCUUCUGCUGUAACCGCGGAUAUCCGCAAAUAAAUAUUGGUCCUCUAGUGGGAGCCCUAAU